rnacentral:rRNA from 1 species
GGUUAAGUUAGAAAGGGCGCACGGUGGAUGCCUUGGCACUAGGAGCCGAUGAAGGACGGGACGAACACCGAUAUGCUUCGGGGAGCUGUAAGCAAGCUUUGAUCCGGAGAUUUCCGAAUGGGGAAACCCACUGCUCGUAAUGGAGCAGUAUCCAUAUCUGAAUUCAUAGGAUAUGAGAAGGCAGACCCGGGGAACUGAAACAUCUAAGUACCCGGAGGAAGAGAAAGCAAAUGCGAUUCCCUGAGUAGCGGCGAGCGAAACGGGAACAGCCCAAACCAAGAGGCUUGCCUCUUGGGGUUGUAGGACACUCUG